rnacentral:lncRNA from 1 species
UCGACCAUGACUUCUAGCAAGCAUGAUGAAUAUAAGUGUAACGCCCACAAUGCGGCUAUAUCUCCCGCGUGUCGGGGCAUGACUUAGAGGCAUAGCCGCAUGGUAGGCAUGUCGCAAGAGGGGUAACCAUUACACAUCCCAUGUACUGAAUAAGAAAGGGAUAAAUAGUUGGCUUACAAUCGCCACUUCACUCAAAUACAAGUUAAACAUACAUCAUCCAGAAUACAAUCAAAGGUCCGACUAUGGAACCAAAAUAAAAGAAGACAACCCCAAAUGCUAGAUUCCCGAUCAUCCCAACUGGACUCCACUACUGAUCAACUGGAAACGAAACAACACAACGAACACGAUCUUCAUCGAGCUCCCACUUGAGCUCAGUUGUGUCAUUUGCACUGGUAUCAUCGGCACCUGCAACUGUUUGGAAGUAUCUGUGAGCCACGAGGACUUAGCAAUGUCACACCCGCGAGAUCAAGACUACUUAAGCUUAUGGGUAGGAAAGUGUAGUGAGGUGGAGCUGCAGCAAGCACUAGCAUAUAUGGUGGCUAACAUACGCAAAUAAGAGCGAGAAGAGAAGUAAAGCGAUAGUCGUGAGCUAGAAGUGAUCAAGAAGUGAUCCUGAAACUACUUACACACAACCAUAACACAUGAAACGUGUUCGCUUCCCGGACUCUGACGAGAAGAGACCAUCACGGCUACACACGCAGUUGAUGCAUUUUAAUUAAGUUAAGUGUCAAGUUCUAUACACCCGGACAUUAACAUAUCCCCAUCUGCCACAUCUCCGCGGGCACGACUUUUGAAAGUUCAAACCCUGCAGGGGUGUCCCAACUUGGCCCAUCACAAGCUCUCACGGUCGACGAAGGAUAUUCCUUCUCCCAGGCAAACCCAAUCAGACUCGGAAUCCCGGUUACAAGACAUUUCGACAAUGGUAAAACAAGACCAGCAAAGCCACCCGAUGUGCCGACAUCCCGGUAGGAGCUGCACAUAUCUCAUUCUUAGGGCAACACCGGAUGAGCAAUCCAUACAACUAAAACCGGCCCUCAAGUUUCCCCGAGGUGGCGCUGCAAGGGGCUCUAGUUCGGACCAACACUUACAGAAGCACUGGCCCUGGGGGGUUAAAAUAAAGAUGACCCUCGGGUUGGCCGACCGAGGGAAGGGUAGGUGGUGGUGAGGCAAAAGGUAAAACCAAGGUUGGGCCUUGCUGCAGGAGUUUUAUUCAAAGCGAUCUGUCAAGGGGUACCCAUAACACCCAAUGGCGUAACGGACGCAAAAUCAAGGAAUAUAACACCGGUAUGUCGGAAACUAGGGCGGCAAGAGUGGAACAAAACACCAGGCAUAAGGCCGAGCCUUCCACCCUUUACCAAGUAUAUAGACGCAUUAAUGUAAAUAAGAUAUAAUAAUGAUAUCCCAACCAAAUCCAUGUUCCAACACGGAACAAACUUCAUCUUCACCUCCAACUAGCAACGCUAUAAGAGGGGCUGAGCAAAAGCGGUAACAUAGCCAAACAACAGUUUGCUAGGAACGUGGGUUAGAGGCUUGACAUGGCAAUAUGGGAGGCAUGAUAUAGCAAAUGGUAGGUAUCGAGGCAUAGCAAUAGAGCGAACAACUAGAAAGCAAAGAUAGAAGUGAUUUUGAGGGUAUGGUCAUCUUGCCUGAGAUCCCGCAAGGAAGUAGAACGAGUCCAUGAACAAGACAAACGGACGUAGUCGAACGGAUCCUCACAAAUGCGACGUUAUCAGAACUAACCCGAAGAAGCAACACCGGAAAGAAGCAAACAACAUGGUAAACAACCAUCACAUAAACAUGGUAUGAUGCACAACCAAGAAAUGAUGCAUGUCCGGUUUAAUGAAGCAUGGCAUGGCAAAGUGCACAAGCAAAACUACAAGUUAAAUGGAGAUCAAUAUGCAAUGAAUUGCAUAUUGUUGAAACACCACAUGACUUAUUUAGUUCUCUUUCAUUUAUGGACUCAACAAUAUCAAAUGUUUAUUAGCAUGGCAAGGGGUGAAGCAUAAGUAAACUACACAUCUAGGCAAGUUUAAAUGAGGCCGGAACAACAAGCAACAAGUCCGGAAAAUCCUCAUGUGCAAUAUUUUAUGUUUGGUACUGUUCAGCCCUAAAGCAUAUUUUAGAGUUGUUAAACAUGCAAAGCAAUGCCACCAUCUUAAACUAAGCAUUUUUCAACCCCAUUUACAUAUAAAGUUUGUUAGGUUUGGAGCUAUGGUUAUUUAGUUAUGAAUUAAAUCAUUUUAGCAUGGCAUUUAAGUAAAUUAAUGCCAAUAGUAGUUUAAACAUUUCAAACGUGGAUGAAAGUGGCAUAUUAUGAAACUAGAUGAAAUUCUAGUCAUUUUUCAUAUAAGGUUUGUUUAAUUUGGAUGCACGGUAUGAGAGUUAUUAAAUGCCUGAAACUUAAGGGGUUUUUUGUAAAACUGCGCUCUCUGGAAUAAUUAGCAAAAAUGUAACAGGGGAAAAAACUAGAUGCGGGCCGGAACUGAAAGGCUGGGGGAGCUACUCACAUCGGGCCUAGCAGGCCGAAACUGAAGCUGGGCCAGAGAGGAGGCGCACUGGGCCAAAGAGGAAUCAUCGUGGGCCGACCGGAUCUGACCAAUGCGGUCAACGUGGUUGCUGAGCGUUCAUCGUCUCGUUCCUGAAGCAGGGACUCAGCGAUGCAGGGGAGCUGGCGCGGUCAACGCAGAGGAAACAGAAGCCUUGGCGCGGCCGCGACGCAGAGGACGCAGAGGCGGCCUAGCAUUGCUUUGGACUCCGGCGAAAAACGGCGCGACGGGGAGGUGGAAGGCGCUGGUGACCCAUGGCAGCAAUGAAGCAGAGGAUACGAGCGGACACCGGGGUGCUCCGACGAGGUACUUGGUAGGGCAGCAGGGUCUAGACAAUGGGAACGAGGCCUAGACGACGGGAACAACGCAGAGAAGGUCGCUGGCGGCGGGGCUCCUCCUGUUAACGAACGAAGACAGAGGGAAUGAUGUGAGAGCGAGCGAGAGAGAGAGAGAGAGGAAAACAUGGGGAAGGAGGACAAGAAGGGCGACGGAGCUCCGUCCUAGUUGCAGCGGUGGUUGACGGGCAUGCUGAAGCGGUAGAUCGAGCCGGUGCUCGGGGGACAAGGUCUUAGGUGGUCGCGGUGGUCUCCAAGGCCGAUGGCUCGCCGGCGAGUCGAGGCGGGGUUGAGGGCGACGAGGAGAAGCACGAGGUGCUCGGGCGCCUCGAGCACACGAUCGAGCAGGGAGGCGCUGCGGCUGGCUGAUUUGGCGCUACGGCAGGGUGGAGUUGGAUUAGUGGGUGGCUGCGAGAUGUGGUUGGAUCGGGGUGGAUCGAGGCGAGAGAGGUGGUUGGCCUGAUGGGGAUAAUGAGAAAGGAGGCUGGUCGGGUGGCUCGAUCGAGAGUAUCAGGCAAGAUCCCGAGGAACAAGGAAGAGUGCGUGGCGGCGGCGGGGAGGAUUUGAU